UGAGGUAGAUGGUUGUAUGGUA
rnacentral:miRNA from 1 species